rnacentral:rRNA from 1 species
CGAAUGCUGACAUAAGUAACGAUAAAGCGGGUGAAAAGCCCGCUCGCCGGAAGACCAAGGGUUCCUGUCCAACGUUAAUCGGGGCAGGGUGAGUCGACCCCUAAGGCGAGGCCGAAAGGCGUAGUCGAUGGGAAACAGGUUAAUAUUCCUGUACUUGGUGUUACUGCGAAGGGGGGACGGAGAAGGCUAUGUUGGCCGGGCGACGGUUGUCCCGGUUUAAGCGUGUAGGCUGGUUUUCCAGGCAAAUCCGGAAAAUCAAGGCUGAGGCGUGAUGACGAGGCACUACGGUGCUGAAGCAACAAAUGCCCUGCUUCCAGGAAAAGCCUCUAAGCAUCAGGUAACAUCAAAUCGUACCCCAAACCGACACAGGUGGUCAGGUAGAGAAUACCAAGGCGCUUGAGAGAACUCGGGUGAAGGAACUAGGCAAAAUGGUGCCGUAACUUCGGGAGAAGGCACGCUGAUAUGUAGGUGAAGUCCCUCGCGGAUGGAGCUGAAAUCAGUCGAAGAUACCUGCUGGCUGCAACUGUUUAUUAAAAACACAGCACUGUGCAAACACGAAAGUGGACGUAUACGGUGUGACGCCUGCCCGGUGCCGGAAGGUUAAUUGAUGGGGUUAGCGCAAGCGAAGCUCUUGAUCGAAGCCCCGGUAAACGGCGGCCGUAACUAUAACGGUCCUAAGGUAGCGAAAUUCCUUGUCGGGUAAGUUCCGACCUGCACGAAUGGCGUAAUGAUGGCCAGGCUGUCUCCACCCGAGACUCAGUGAAAUUGAACUCGCUGUGAAGAUGCAGUGUACCCGCGGCAAGACGGAAAGACCCCGUGAACCUUUACUAUAGCUUGACACUGAACAUUGAGCCUUGAUGUGUAGGAUAGGUGGGAGGCUUUGAAGUGUGGACGCCAGUCUGCAUGGAGCCGACCUUGAAAUACCACCCUUUAAUGUUUGAUGUUCUAACGUGGACCCGUAAUCCGGGUUGCGGACAGUGUCUGGUGGGUAGUUUGACUGGGGCGGUCUCCUCCUAAAGAGUAACGGAGGAGCACGAAGGUUGGCUAAUCCUGGUCGGACAUCAGGAGGUUAGUGCAAUGGCAUAAGCCAGCUUGACUGCGAGCGUGACGGCGCGAGCAGGUGCGAAAGCAGGUCAUAGUGAUCCGGUGGUUCUGAAUGGAAGGGCCAUCGCUCAACGGAUAAAAGGUACUCCGGGGAUAACAGGCUGAUACCGCCCAAGAGUUCAUAUCGACGGCGGUGUUUGGCACCUCGAUGUCGGCUCAUCACAUCCUGGGGCUGAAGUAGGUCCCAAGGGUAUGGCUGUUCGCCAUUUAAAGUGGUACGCGAGCUGGGUUUAGAACGUCGUGAGACAGUUCGGUCCCUA